CCAGACAUCCUUGUGGAACCAGCGUUGUUUUUCCUUGGCAGCUGCGGAGACCCGUGAUAAUUCGUUAACUAAUUCAACAAACGGGACCCUUCUGUGUGCCAGAAACCGCAAGCAGUUGCUAACCCAGUGGGACAGGCGGAUUGGAAGAGCGGGAAGGUCCUGGCCCAGAGCAGUGUGACACUUCCCUCUGUGACCAUGAAACUCUGGGUGUCUGCAUUGCUGAUGGCCUGGUUUGGUGUCCUGAGCUGUGUGCAGGCUGAAUUCUUCACCUCUAUUGGGCACAUGACUGACCUGAUUUAUGCAGAGAAAGAGCUGGUGCAGUCUCUGAAAGAGUACAUCCUUGUGGAGGAAGCCAAGCUUUCCAAGAUUAAGAGGUGUCCUAAGUCCCCGUACCAUCCUUAGUUGGCCUUCCUUCCCUUCUGCCCGUCAAGGAACAAGGAAGCCAUCUAGGGUGCCUAUAAGAGGAAGCCCUUGAGAGGGUGAUGUGGGGCUGGCCUGAGUCCUUGAGAGGAGCUAAGUACAUGGGCUAAGGAGUCACUGUUUAUUUUCUAUUUAAGACCUUUUCCCUUACAUUGGGGGUCCCAGCUGUUAUCUAGAUUAAGGGGCUAGAAGUAUCUGCGGGGAGUUACUGUAUUCAUUUUCAUUGCCUGUUGAUGAAAAGGGCCCCAGAACCUGGCACCAGGGAAUUCUCACUAGGGAAAUUAUCACAGGUCAAGACCUAUGUGGGUGGAUGCAUUAGUCUUCCUUUUCCUCUGGUUCCACAGCUGGGCCAACAAAAUGGAAGCCUUGACUAGCAAGUCAGCUGCUGAUGCUGAGGGCUACCUGGCACACCCUGUGAAUGCCUACAAACUGGUGAAGCGGCUAAACACAGACUGGCCGGCGCUGGAGGACCUUGUCCUGCAGGACUCAGCUGCAG
rnacentral:sRNA from 1 species